rnacentral:misc_RNA from 1 species
CUUCACACUAUCGCACUUUGUGCGCCACAGACGCUCUGGCCAACAAUGCCAAAGAAGGCGACGAUAUCAUUUGCGGAUCUCGGCCUCGGGACCCCGCUGCCCAGUGUUCUGGCGAAGUCCCGCGACGAGCGACGAAAGGAGCAGCGAGUCGAGAAAAAGGAGAGGAAAGAGCGCACACGCGAGGCUAUGGCCGAGGUAGCGGCGGCGCGUGACAUCGUGGAGCAGCACAAGCGCCUUGUCGAAGCGGAGACGGCGCAGGAGCGAAAGCUCAAAGAGAUGCAUAAGCGUGAGCUGCGAGUGGAGCAUCUGAAGGCGCGCUGUGAGCGCGAGGAAAGCCAGAGGCAACACACCGCGCAGCUGCGCGUGACACAGGAGAAGAUCAUCACCGAGUUGAGGACGGCGCGGCGGGAAGAGGAGGCUGAGAUGCAGCGGCUGCAGGCACUGCUAGAGCGUGAGACGGCAGAGAGGGCAAAGGUUGCGCCGGCCAAUGUUCACAUUGAGAUUCACCGCACAGACGAGGUGAAGCAGCAGCGUGCUGGUCUGCCUGUUCUGCGCGAGGAGCAGCCGAUCAUGGAGGCCAUCAACGAAACGCGCCGCACGUGCGUGUUGGUGUGUGGCGAGACGGGCAGCGGCAAGACAACCCAAAUUCCGCAGUUUCUGUGGGAGGCGGGAUACGGCCACCCAGAGGGCCACCUCUUCGGGAGGGAGGGCUGCAUACUCGUCACGGAGCCCCGCCGUGUGGCUGCAGUGUCGAUGGCGCGGCGUGUGGCCGAGGAGCUCAACGUUUCCUUCGGGAAAGAGGUGUGCUACCACGUCCGGUACGAUAACAACCUCUCUGACAAGUGCAGGCUGAAGUUUGCGACGGAGGGUAUUGUGCUGAAGGAAAUCCAGUCCGACUUUCUUCUUCGCAAGUACAGCGUCAUCGUGAUUGAUGAAGCACACGAGCGCAGUAUCUCGUGUGACAUCCUGAUUGGGCUGCUUUCUCGCAUCGUGCCGCUGCGCAAUGACAUGUUUGAAGAGGAGCUGCGCAAGCAUCACGGCGACGUGGACAAGACGUGCAUUAAACCACUCAAGCUUGUCAUCAUGUCUGCCACCAUGCGUAUUACAGACUUCAAGGAUAACCGGACACUUUUUCCCAUUACACCGCCGCUCAUCAACAUCGAGGCGCGCCGAUACCCUGUCACGAACCACUUUGCCCGACGCACGGAGCUGAAGGAGUACGUGGACCAGGCAUUCGACAAGGUACGCCAGAUGCACAAGAAGCUGCCGCCAGGUGGCAUUUUGGUGUUUGUGUGCACCCAGCAGGAGAUCGAGGAUCUGUGUGGCCGUCUGCGUCGGCACUACGCGGCGACAAAGAUCGAGUACUAUGACAACGCCUACUCAAAACACCGGCUUCUGACCGGACGGAGCCAGGAGGAGACGGCUGCGGCGUCGACCGACAGCGAAGGCGGCGGCGUUGCCACCGCAGAGGAGGCGGAGGAAAAGGACGAGUACGGCCUUCACACGACAGACUACGCCCUCGACGACGAGAACGUGACUUGCGGCAACUCGAAGGAGAUCGAAACCGUGCACGAGGGACGACUGCGACGACAUCCCCAGCCAAGCGGCGGAAGGGGCAAGUACCCCCGCGGUGAGGCGGGUGCGCGGCUAGCCGGCAGGGAUCACUGGGGUCGUAGCGACGAGCACAGUGCCGCUGCCGCAGAGGGGUUGACGACUUUUCCAGGCGACGAGGAACAGGAGGAAGAGGUCAACGGGGAGUUGAACACCCUCCACGUUCUCCCGCUUUACGCGCUUCUCGACUUUCAAAAGCAACAAGAGGUUUUCAAGCCACCGCCUAAAGGCACUCGCCUCUGCGUUGUCGCCACCAACGUGGCCGAGACGUCCAUCACAAUUCCAAAUAUCAAGUAUGUGGUGGAUGCUGGGCGGGCUAAGUCCAAGGUGAUUGACGAGGAGACCAAGGCGAGCUGCUUCCGAAUCGAGUGGACAAGCCAGGCUUCCGCCGAGCAGCGCAGCGGCCGCGCAGGCCGUGUGGGGCCGGGACACUGCUACCGACUCUACAGCACCGCAGUGUACGCAAACUUGAUGGCGAAGCACGGAGACCCAGAAGUGCUUCGCACCCCGCUCGAUUCCGUCGUUCUUCUAAUGAAGCACAUUGGGGUGAAGAACGUCGGUGGCUUUCCGUUUCCGUCGCCACCGCGGGAGUCGGACUUGAAGGCUGCCCUGCAGCACCUCAGUGUCAUUGGCGCCCUCGACGCAGCGAACAACUACAACAUUACCAAGCUGGGUCGGCAGCUGGUUGCGUACCCGGUGCCGCCACGAUUUGCGCGGGCUCUUCUCGAGGUGCUGCAGCAACAGAAGGCGCGAUCCGCUGACGUGCAAGACAUGGUUGCUGCCAUCGUCGCAGUGGCCACGACGACGACCAACGUCUUCACGGGAGAGGGCAAUCAGCUCAAGGCGAGGAAGCUCAACGAGCUCGCCGACACUCCCACAGACCCUCGACAGGGGCGAAUUCGCUCCUUGCUGAACCCUGGAAGCGACCUGGUCACUUACCUCAACGCAUUCUAUGCCUACCGCAGCGAUCCGUGGCAUAGCUGUGGCAUGUUCUGCUUGGUUCAGAAGAGCAUGCACGAGGCAAGGCUUCUAUACACCCAGCUCCGCAGCCAGAUGCGCCAGCACAACAAGGAGCAGGACGAGCUGGCCGACACCCUGGACGAAGGCGAGGCCUCCGUGCACGAAAAGAGUGAGCAAAAGAUCGGGAGCCAUACCAGUGGUGGAUGCCCUUUGUCAAAGGAGACGGAGCUGCUGCUGCGGCAGGUCUUCAUUCCAGGGCUCAUGGACCAAGUUGCGCGUCGCGCGACGGUGCACGAGUGCCGCUCACUCGGGGUGGAGUACAACGACAAGCGCGCUACCAAGACACCAUAUCUGGUGCUGGGUGUAAACCGCACUAUCGCCUACAUUCACCCGACCAGUGCCGUGGCGCGCACGUUUCCGCCGCCGGAGUAUGUGACAUUUGGAUUUCUGCAGAAAGUGCACCGUUCCGACACAAAAGUUGCACAGGCCAUGAUGAUGGGCGUUACGGUUGUGAUGCCAGAGUGGCUGCGUGCCUACGGCUUCGAGGAGGAGGAGGGAGACUAGCAGCAGCAACACGUCAGCACUUCUCUAGCGAGAUCCACACAUGCGUGUCUUUCUCGUCUUCUGUGUGGAGGCAGUGCCGCGUCUUGUAUGCCCCUCUCCCCCAGCCGCGUUCUCCACCACGGUGGCGUGAUGCGCACCUCCUCGUAAAGUAGCUGGUCCUAAGAAGAAAAACACCUUCCCAGAGGACACGGUGCUAUGCUGCAGGGCCAUGGUGAUGGGCGCAGUGAUGAUAGCGUGCGUAUAUCUUCUUUUGAUGUUGACGGCGUGACGCCCCCCCUGUUUUUCCCUUUUCCUUUUCUCCCCCGCUGUUCGCCUGACUUACCUGGCAUUUAACGGACGAUUAAGGCACGCCAGAGGUCAUUACUCAAUC